CCACCGAGCGGGAGGCAGCCUGGCGCUCCGUCCCUAGCGGGGAGAGCGACCGGCCGCGGGAGAGGAGCCUGGCGGUGCACCCAGGCCUGGGGGUCUGGGGCGCGAUGGGAGAGUCGAGCAUGCGGGGCGUGUCCGCUCUGCCCCCACUGGCUCGGCGGGAAGAUGCAAAAGCGCCCGGGAGUUGUCACUUCAAGGGAGGCAGAUGGGGACGCGUGUCAGUGUGUGUGACACACCUCGGGGCCAGAGACCUAAACGUGCCUGCGACCAACUCCAGUUAAAUCCCCGGGAGGUUAUUUGCGGAGACUGGGAGGAAAAAGUUGCCAACGUCGACUUGGUGACCUGAUCAGGGCAGAGGAGAUCAUCUGUCCAUAAUUCUUGAUGAAACUGCAGCCCAGUUAACAACAGGAUCAUUUUUUUAAGACUUGAAAACUGAAAUAGGGCUGUAUGUGGAAAAUGUCACCUUGCAGCAGGCAGAACUGUUUUUGUUCCUGCAGAAGGGAUCCAGCAGACUUCAAGCCUCUAGGAUCAGGCUGGUCUUAUGCAGAAAAUGUUAAAAAAAAAAAAAAAAAAACUGGCCAAAUGAAGUCUCACUUCAAACAUCAGAAAAGACAUUUCUGGGCUGGCCAGAUAGCUCAGCUGGUUAGAGCGUGGUGCUACAACACCAGGGUCAAGGGCUGAGAUCUCCACACCAAGAUCAGCUACAAAAAAGAAAAGAAAAGACAUUUUUUA